ensembl:snRNA U6 U6 spliceosomal RNA
AGGCUCACCUUGGCAGCACAUAUACUAAAAUUGGAAAGAUACAGAGACGAUUAGCAUGGCCCCUGUGCAAAGAUGACACACAAAUUUGUGAAGCAUUCUAUAUAUAU